rnacentral:rRNA from 1 species
UACAGAGGGGGCAAGCGUUGUUCGGAAUUACUGGGCGUAAAGGGCGCGUAGGCGGCCUGUUAAGUCGAACGUGAAAUCCCCAGGCUUAACCUGGGAACUGCGUCGGAUACUGGAUGGCUUGAAUUCGGGAGAGGGAUGCAGAAUUCCAGGUGUAGCGGUGAAAUGCGUAGAUAUCUGGAGGAAUACCGGUGGCGAAGGCGGCAUCCUGGACCGACAUUGACGCUGAACGGCGAAAGCUAGGGGAGCAAGCGGG